rnacentral:rRNA from 1 species
UACGAAGGGGGCUAGCGUUGUUCGGAAUUACUGGGCGUAAAGCGCGCGCAGGCGGUCUUCCAAGUCAGUGGUGAAAGCCUGGAGCUCAACUCCAGAACUGCCAUUGAAACUGUUAGACUUGAGUACGAGAGAGGUGAGUGGAAUUCCCAGUGUAGAGGUGAAAUUCGUAGAUAUUGGGAAGAACACCAGUGGCGAAGGCGGCUCUCUGGACCGAGACUGACGCUGAGACGCGAAAGCGUGGGGAGCGAACAGG